CACUUCGAGGGCUCUAAUGAUUCCGUUUUUGGCGAUUCAUGCCAAAGGGGGAGAAAGUAAGAGCCCAAAGCAAAAGGACCGCAUCACCACCAAUUUCAAAAACUUAAGUGUUGAAUAUUUUCAAAUUGGUAUCCUAUUGUGUUCAAAAGGGGGAGAAAGUAGUAUUUCAAAAUGAUAUAUCUAAACCCUCUUGAACACUAAGAGGAGAAUCUCUUUUAGGGGGAGUUUUUGUUUAGUCAAAGGAAAAGCAUUUGAAACAGGGGGAGAAAAUUUCAAAUCUUGAAAAUGCUUCUCAAAAUCUUAUUCAUUUGCCUUUGACUAUUUGCAAAAGAACUUUGAAAUGGAUUUACAAAAGAUUUUGCAAAAACAAAACAUGUGGUGCAAACGUGGUCCAAAAUGUUAUAUAAGAAAGAAACAAUCCAUGCAUAUCUUGUAAGUAUUUAUAUUGGCUCAAAUUCUAAGCAACCUUUACACUUACAUUAUGCAAACUAGUUCAAUUAUGCACUUCUAUAUUUGCUUUGGUUUGUGUUGGCAUCAAUCACCAAAAAGGGGGAGAUUGAAAGGGAAUUAGGCUUACACCUAGUCCCUAAUUAAUUUUGGUGGUUGAAUUGCCCAACACAAGCAAUUGGACUAACUAGUUUGCCCAAGUGUAUAGAUUAUACAGGUGCAAAAGGUUCACACUCAGCCAAUAAAAAGACCAAGUUUUGGAUUCAACAAAGGAGCAAAGUGGGAACCGAAGGCCCUCUGGUCUGGGUGCACCGGACUGUCCGGUGUACACCGGACAGUGUCCGCUGCACCACCGGACAGUGUCCGGUGCACCAGAGGACUUCCACUCGAACUCGCCAGCUUCGGGAAUCGCCAACGGCUAGUCCGCUAAAAUUCACCGGACAUGUCCGGUGUGCACCGGACUGUCCGGUGCAACUCCGGUGCAACGGCUACCUCCGCGCCAACGGUUACCUGCAGCGCAUUAAUUGCGCGCGCAGCGCGCGCAGAAGUCAGGCGCGCCCAUACUGGCACACCGGACAUCAAACAGUACCUGUCCGGUGUGCACCGGACACCCAGGCGGGCCCACAAGACAGAAGCUCCAACGGUCAGAAUCCAACGGCAGUGAUGACGUGGCAGGGGCACCGGACAUGUCCGGUGUGCACCGGACUGUCCGGUGCGCCAUCGAGCAGACAGGCUCCCAACGGCCACUUUUGGUGGUUGGGGCUAUAAAUACCCCAACCACCCCACCAUUCAUUGCAUCCAAGUUUUCCACUUCCCAACUACUACAAGAGCUCUAGCAUUCAAUUCUAGACACACCAAAGAGAUCAAAUCCUCUCCAAAUUCCACACAACGCCAUAGUGACUAGAGAGAGUGAUUUGCUUGUGUUCUUUCGAGCUCUUGCGCUUGGAUUGCUUUCUUCUUUCUUGAUUCUUUCAUUGCGAUCAAACUCACUUGUAAAUUGAGGCAAGAGACACCAAACUUGUGGUGGUCCUUGUGGGAACUUUGUGUUCCAAGUGAUUGAGAAGAGAAAGCUCACUCGAUCCGAGGGAUCGUUUGAGAGAGGGAAGGGUUGAAAGAGACCCGGCCUUUGUGGCCUCCUCAACGGGGAGUAGGUUUGCGAGAACCGAACCUCGGUAAAACAAAUCCGCGUGUCUCUCUUACUUAUUCGCUUGCGAUUUGUUUUGCGCCCUCUCUCGCGGACUCGAUUUUAUUUCUAACGCUAACCCGGCUUGUAGUUGUGUUUAUAUUUGUAAAUUUCAGUUUCGCCCUAUUCACCCCCCCUCUAGGCAACUUUCAGUUAUCAAGAAGAUUGGGUCCCGAGAUCUUAUUCAAGAAGCUCUUGCGUACAACAUAUAUCCAACUCGAACAAGGUGGAAGUUGCUGAAGGAAGUGAAGUGCAAUGAACAUAUAAAACUCCUUCGGCUGGAUGGUUGAAAUUUGUUGAAGAGAAAUGCAAUGAGAUGUCUGGUAACUAUCUUGCUAGGGAGCACGAAGACAUGUGAUCUGCUUUCUGUGGCUAAGGGAAACUUUGACUCAAUAGGGUUAUGGAUGCCUUAGGGUUUGAAUACCUAGACUAUGAAGAUCCUUCGACCAAUAUUGGGGCUAGGAAAAAGGAGGGCUACGAAGAAAGAGGCCGAAGAGUCAUCUUCGGGCCAGGUAAAAAAGAAGGCCAAGAUUGUUCAAAAGGAUGUAGCCACGGUAAAAGCUUUGGCUCCAAUAAUAACUGCAGUCGCUCAAGAACCGAGGAAGGGAAGCACAACCACAACUUCAUCGCUGAACUACACCCGUAUUCUUGAGUUAAUGACUCGACCACUACCGUUUUCCCCUUAAUUCCCUUAGGACCCUCAUUGACUCGAUUUAUGCCAACUUUGAAGGACUGAUUGAAGAGGAAGUUUUGAAACUGGGGGAGAAAGGCGAAGCUCUAGGGUACGUCCCUGGUGUUUUACUAUUUGGUGGGGAAGACCGGAUGCUGAUGUGCAUACCAGAUCCCAAUGAAUUGAAGAUUGUUAGGAAUAUAACCUGAAGCAUCAGCUUUCCGGACAUCAAAGAGAAAUUGUGCCAAGUAAAGAAGAAGAAACUCUCCCACAGCCUGGCCUAUACUAGUAUCAAGGGACUAAUGCUAAGAAAAGCCUUGAGAAUGCAGUAAGAAAAAGAAGAAAAAGAAUUCUCCGCUCUUCAAGCUGAAGCUGCCAAACUUCGCAAGAGUUUGGGGAAAAACAUGCAAAAAUGGCGCUCUUGAUGGAGAAGGUAGAAAAAGUCGAAAAGGAAAAUGAUGAAGCAAGGAGGAUACACGAUGCUGAUGUUUCAAAGUUAAAGAAAUAAGAUGAGUUUAUAAAAGAGCUUCAGGCCAACCUCGAUGCUGAGAAAAGGGUAAUGUUGAUAAGUAUAUGGAAAACCAAAAGUUGUUAGGAAGUUUAAAUCAGCUUUGAGAGAACUUUUUUGUUGCUUCGCGCUGCCGCGAUACUCUUAGGAAGAUUUUUUCCUCAACCAGUGCCAUCUCAAGAGCAACCACAUACACCAGUGGGGACACCGACGGAGCGCUCAACUAGAUGGAGAAAGAACUGGGAGAAGUAGAUUCGAUAAUUACCGCUCGCAGUGACUAUUGCACAAUGAUUGGGUCCCAGGGGAUGGCUUCAGUAUUUGAAAAGGCUAGUUGCGAUCACACCAAAGUUGUUGGAGAAGCUGGCUUUGAUAUGAAUGUUGAUGAUAUAAAGUGUCCUCCGAAGAAUGUGGCGAAGGCCGUACAAAGAUUCUUCUUUGAGUUGUGGAACAAGGGAGGACGAGAGCUAGUUGCUUCGGAGGCCGAAGAAUAUACUAGGAAUGUUCAUCUUUUAAACAUGUACUUCUGAAGUUUUGUUAAUGGGUUUUUUCUAAUUAAUCACCAUGUCUCCUUUUGCUUCUUUUCCUGCAGAGCAAGAAGCUGAAGAAAACGAAGUAAAGCAAGGAGGUCGAAGCCUAGUUAGGUUGUUAGUGUAGAUAGAUUCUGAUUGUAAAAACAAACUCUGUGUGCAGUUGAAAUGCUACUCUUUUGUAAUUUAAUGUCUGACUCUUCAUCAUUUAUCCUACUUACAUUUGUAUGCUUU